ACCCCGGCUGGCUCUCCGAGUGCUACCUCUACUUUAGGUAGAAGUACUUUUACUAUAUAGUAGAAGUACUUCUGCUUGAAGUAGAGGUGGCACUUGGGGAGCCGGCCGGGUUGGGGAAAAAUUUUUUUAUUUUUUUUUUCAAU
rnacentral:sRNA from 1 species